AUGGCAACCCUUCGAGUCGACGAAAUUCAUAAAAUUCUCCGCGAACGUAUUGAACAAUAUAAUAGGAAAGUAGGGAUUGAGAAUAUAGGUCGCGUAGUUCAAGUGGGGGAUGGGAUUGCUCGUAUUAUAGGUCUUGGUGAAAUAAUGUCAGGUGAAUUAGUCGAAUUUGCAGAAGGUACUAGGGGUAUUGCUCUGAAUUUGGAAUCCAAAAAUGUUGGGAUUGUAUUAAUGGGCGAUGGGUUGAUGAUACAAGAGGGAAGUUUUGUAAAAGCAACAGGAAGAAUUGCUCAGAUACCCGUGAGUGAGGCUUACUUGGGUCGUGUUGUAAAUGCUCUGGCUAAACCUAUUGAUGGGAAAGGCGAAAUUAUAGCUUCCGAAUCUCGCUUAAUUGAAUCUCCUGCUCCAAGUAUAAUUUCCAGGCGUUCCGUAUACGAACCUCUUCAAACAGGGCUUAUUGCUAUCGAUUCGAUGAUCCCUAUAGGGCGCGGUCAGCGAGAGUUAAUUAUUGGGGACAGGCAGACUGGCAAAACAGCAGUAGCCACAGAUACAAUUCUCAAUCAAAAAGGGCAAGGUGUAAUAUGUGUUUAUGUAGCUAUCGGUCAAAGAGCAUCCUCCGUAGCUCAAGUAGUAACUACUUUCCAUGAGGAGGGGGCCAUGGAAUACACUAUUGUAGUAGCUGAAAUGGCGGAUUCACCUGCUACAUUACAAUACCUCGCUCCUUAUACGGGAGCAGCCCUGGCUGAGUAUUUUAUGUACCGCGAACGGCAUACUUUAAUAAUUUAUGAUGAUCUCUCCAAACAGGCACAAGCUUAUCGCCAAAUGUCCCUUCUAUUAAGAAGACCUCCCGGCCGUGAGGCUUAUCCAGGGGAUGUUUUUUAUUUGCAUUCACGCCUUUUAGAAAGAGCCGCUAAAUUAAAUUCUCUUUUAGGCGAAGGAAGUAUGACCGCUUUACCAAUAGUUGAGACUCAAUCUGGAGACGUUUCCGCCUAUAUUCCUACUAAUGUAAUCUCCAUUACAGAUGGACAAAUAUUCUUAUCAGCGGAUCUAUUCAAUGCCGGAAUUCGACCCGCUAUUAAUGUGGGUAUUUCUGUUUCCAGAGUAGGAUCCGCGGCUCAAAUUAAAGCCAUGAAACAAGUAGCUGGCAAAUCAAAAUUGGAACUAGCUCAAUUCGCAGAGUUACAAGCCUUUGCACAAUUCGCCUCUGCUCUCGAUAAAACAAGUCAGAAUCAAUUGGCAAGGGGUCGACGAUUAAGGGAAUUGCUUAAACAAUCCCAGGCAAAUCCUCUCCCAGUGGAAGAGCAGAUAGCUACUAUUUAUACCGGAACAAGAGGAUAUCUUGAUUCGUUAGAAAUUGAACAGGUAAAUAAAUUUCUGGAUGAGUUACGUAAACAUCUAAAAGAUACUAAACCUCAAUUCCAAGAAAUUAUAUCUUCUAGCAAGACAUUCACCGAGCAAGCGGAAAUCCUUUUGAAGGAAGCUAUUCAGGAACAGCUGGAACGGUUUUCUCUUCAGUAA
rnacentral:rRNA from 1 species